GACAGAGGGUGCAAACGUUGUUCGGAAUUACUGGGCGUAAAGCGCGUGUAGGCGGCCCGGCAAGUCGGGUGUGAAAGCCCUGGGCUCAACCCAGGAAGUGCACUCGAAACUGCCGAGCUGGAGUCCCGGAGAGGAAGGCGGAAUUCUCGGUGUAGAGGUGAAAUUCGUAGAUAUCGAGAGGAACACCUGUGGCGAAGGCGGCCUUCUGGACGGCGACUGACGCUGAGGCGCGAAAGCUAGGGGAGCAAC
rnacentral:rRNA from 1 species